AGGGGUGUGACUCAGUGGUAGAGUGCAUGUUUAUCACGUACUAGGCUCUGGGUUCAUUCCCCAGCAUUACAC
rnacentral:tRNA from 1 species